rnacentral:rRNA from 1 species
GAUGAACGCUGGCGGCGUGCUUCAUACAUGCAAGUCGAACGAGAAUCUCUAGCUUGCUAGAGAGGAAAGUGGCGGACGGGUGAGUAAGGUUUGGGAAACUGCCUGAUAGAGGGGGACAACAGUUGGAAACGACUGCUAAUACCGCAUAUAGCCGAGAGGUGAAAGGAGCAAUCCGCUAUCAGAUGUGCCCAAAUGGGAUUAGCUAGUAGGUGAGGUAAAGGCUCACCUAGGCGACGAUCUCUAGCUGGUCUGAGAGGAUGAUCAGCCACAUUGGGACUGAGACACGGCCCAGACUCCUACGGGAGGCAGCAGUGGGGAAUAUUGGGCAAUGGGGGAAACCCUGACCCAGCAACGCCGCGUGAAGGAAGAAGGCCUUCGGGUUGUAAACUUCUUUUAGCAGGGACGAAGAACGUGACGGUACCUGCAGAAAAAGCAACGGCUAACUGCGUG